UUCAAUAGUGCCGGGUCGACAAUAGUGCUACAAAGAUAUAGUACGUAGUCUUUAAAAAAACAGGUAAAUGAUCAUUUAAAAAUUAGUUUUUCAACUCUGAUCUUCUUAAAUUAAUCCCAUUAAUUUGAAGUCAAUUUUUUGUGUAAACUUUCCAUGUUAACACAAAUGACGUUGAGUGUUUGACAUGGGGACUAGUGUUAGGUAACGGUUUACCAAGAUAGGGAAAUAAAAUGAGGACUCCAAGUGUCCGCUAACGUUAAUAAAAAUCAAAUUUUUUUUAAGCACCAGCCGUUCUAUUGCUGGCCUCUGUGUUUCUCUGCCUCAACGUGUCUCUCCAGCUGUCCACGUUAUCUAUGACCCCACACGUUUUCUUUGUGAAAACCUACACCAACCCUCACUAUAUAAACACCCCUUGCCACUUCGUCCUUCUCAUCACCACCCUGGAUCAAGAACACUGAACAAUAUUCAAGAUUUGGUUACGCUCUCAGUAUAUCUCUUGAAAGGGUUUGUUUUCGUGUCUUGACACCCGAUUUUGUACAAUGGCAUUUGCUGCAAUGAAGUUGUUUGCUGCUGCUGUUGUCAUGGCAAUGCUUGCCAGUGUUGCUGUUUCCGCCCAAGAUCUGGAGAGUUAGCGCCAGCGCCAGCUCCCUGGAUGGACAAGGGAGCUGCUUCCUUUUCUCUUGGG
rnacentral:lncRNA from 1 species